rnacentral:rRNA from 1 species
GCCAGCAGCUGUAUCACUCUGCAGCUCACCACUGAAGCUAAGCAGGUGUGAGCCUGGUCAGUACCUGGAUGGGAGUCCUCCUGGGAAAAACUAAGGUUGCUGCUGGAA